rnacentral:rRNA from 1 species
AUUGAACGCUGGCGGUAUGCUUAACACAUGCAAGUCGAACGGUAGCAGGCCUUCGGGCGCUGACGAGUGGCGGACGGGUGAGUAACGCGUAGGAAUCUGCCUGGUAGUGGGGGACAACGUGGGGAAACUCACGCUAAUACCGCAUACGCCUACGGGGAAAGCGGGGACCGUUCGGCCGUCGCGCUAUCAGAUGAGCCUGCGUUAGAUUAGCUAGUUGGUGGGGUAAAGGCCUACCAAGGCGACGAUCUAUAGCUGGUCUGAGAGGACGACCAGCCAGACAGGGACUGCGACACGGCCCUGACUCCUACGGGAGGCUG